AAAAUUAGACAACUUAUUAGUUUUGCCUCCAAAUAUUUCUAACACUUUUAAUUUUCCCACCCCAAGGCCCAAAACUCUCACUUCCCCAAAAAUCUACAUCUUUCUCUUUCAACAUAACAAUGGCGAUUUCAACAUAAUGAUGGCGAUUUCAAAUAAACGAUGGCGAUUUCAACAUAACAAUGACUAAGUUUUCUAAAUCUGAGAUUUGAAAUUAGUGAGUGAUCCGAGCUGGUUCAUUUUAGGGUUCUGCCAUUUUUGCUCCUCUUUUAAUGCUUGUUAUUAGGUCUUUGUUUUGCUUGAUGCUACAAUUUCAAAAUCUGAGAUUUGAAAUCAGAAUAGGAUGUAUUUCAGAAGCUGCACAAAAGAAAGGAUGGCAGCUUUGUUGACACCAAGUCUAAGAGCAUUAAUGAUAAAAUGGAGGCUGUGGUGGCUGCUGCUAUUUCGAGCUCAUCAGAUGGUUCGCAAGAAGUCCUAAAACUCGAUAUAAUUCGCCUAUACUUGGAUGUUGUGGGUGGAGAGAAAAAACGACGUGUGUAUGGAUUGGGAUCUCAAGGUUUGACUAUGUAUGAAGACCAAAAUUCUGCCACUUCACGCAAUUUAUCUGCGGUGACUGAUCGUAUUCCUCAAGAGCGCAUCAAACUGCUUGAGGGAGAGAUGUUGCGUAUGAGAGAAAAUCAAGAGAGGAUUCUUCAAGGGCGUGUAGAGGCAGAGGUGCAACAACGCGUAGCGCGGGAGGUCUCGCUUUUGAAGCAACAAAGUGAUGAUCGGUUUAAGUCUAUGGAGGAGCGAUGGACCCGUAUGAUGAGCGAGAUGGCGUUAUCUUCUCGCUCAUGAUCUGGUGAUCCUACUCUCCCUAACAGGGACUCACCAAAUGCUCAAAUGUUUAAUAUUUUCAUACUUUAAUUACUUGGAUUCUUUAAGUGUUGUUUUUAAUGUUGUUAGACUUACCAAAUGCUUAAGUGUUGUUUUUAGUGUUGUUAGACUUUCCUUAAUUGGAUGCUUCGUAAGUUUUUAAAUAUUUGUAGACUUUUGCUUAUUGAAGUUGGGUUUUAGCAUAUUUUAUCUUCA